rnacentral:lncRNA from 1 species
GCAAUAGCAUCCGCGCCCGUCGCCAUUAAUGGAGCUCUUCCAGAUACAGAAACCCGAGCAUAGCAUGGAUCAAUUCAAAUCCAUUUAUGGUCAAUUACCAGAUGCAUAGAUGUGCAAGAAUGAAUCUCCAGGCGUGGUGCGAGUCUGCUCUGAUCCGUAUGAAUGCAACUCUGCCCUCAUCUUCUUCAUCGUUUUGAUUGAUUGGUUGGUGGUCUGUGUACUUGAGGAGGGAUCUGGACCCCAUCCUGCCCUGACCCUGUCCCUGCGGUAAGUUUUACUACUCCAGUCCAGUAGUAGCAGAGUGGUGAUGAGAUACUAUAUGCCUGCUGUGUUGUUGUAUGUACAUUUGUUGUCUCUUUUAGCCAUUGCUGCGGAUUUACCAUUUCACCAUAGGAGGGGUCAAUCUCUAUUUUUGGUUACAUGACAAAUUAUUAAAAGGGAUUCAUUCAUGCUGAUUACAGGCAGUGUAUUAUUGGGUCUGUCGACUGAAGUAUGGAGCAUGUAUUUGUCAUGUCCAAUCGAUUUUUUUCUUCUGCUAUCAUAGUGUCCUUGAUUUAUACGCCUCAAAUGGUUUUAUUCCUUUAUCAUUUUUCAUUCAUAUUCUCUGUCAUAUGGAAAUCAUAUCUAUCAAUGUUCCUGUGUGCUUACUAGCUAGUUUAUGAUAUAUUGUACUCCCUCCAUCCGGAAAUACUUGUCAUCAAAAUGAAUAAAAGGGGAUGUAUCUAGAUGUAUUUUAGUUCUAGAUACAUCUUUUUUUAUCCAUUUUGAUGACAAGUAUUCUCGGACGGAGGGAGUAUUACCUAUAUCUCUUGAGCAAGAAGGUGGUGCUGCUGAUUGUGAUCUUUUUUUUUUGAGAUGUGCUGAUUGUGAUCUUAGACAAGAACAGACCGGCAUCCGUUCGAUCAUGUGUUGAUGAAUUUGCAGAUUUAAGAGGUAAUAUCACCGGUAGUCAUAGAACUUGCGUUGCAUGUUCAGUUUUGUGCUAAAACUUUGAAAAUACGGUUUUGUGGUCACCUAACUUGACUCAAGCGUGCAGAUACGGUCACAGUACGCGUAUACAGACAUAUCAAUGUGUAUGGCCCCACUCGUCAGUGACGAAUGGCACUAGGCGCGACGUAUUUUACACAGGACACCCUGAAAUUUUUUUAUUUGUGGAAGAAGUGAAGCGCAGCGAUGUAUUUUUAUAGAAAACACCUUAACUUUUUUUAUUUACAGAAAACAGGCCCGCAAUAAGUCAAUACUGCACAUAUAUGCGAACAUUAAAACUUCUUUUAUUUACAGAAAACAGGACCACAAUACUGCACAUAUAUGCGAACAUUAAAACUUCUUUUAUUUACAGAAAACAGGACCACAAUAUUGCACAUAUAUGCGAACAUUAACAACAAAAAUGGCAUGCCAGGACUCGAACAGACGAGCAACUAUUUUUUAACCCGAGAAUGCAAAUGCAAAAAUUUAACACCAAAAAGAAUCUACUAGGACUUGAACCUACAAUCAACUUUUUAAAUCAAUACAAUCUAGACACUACAACCAGUCAGAUCUGGAUGUCAAAAAUGGAUCAGGAACUUAUAUAUAUUAAACGAGGAUGCAUGUGAAGUUUAAAUAGGCUAUGGAGACUGCGGCCCAUUUUAUCUGAGGUAUUUAAAAAUAUAUAUAAACAUGUGUACUAUAUAAAUGUGCGUAUUGCAUAUUUGGUUUUCAAAAAUAUUAUUUUAAUUAUACAAACAUUUCAAUAAUUAUAUAUACGCACAUUUUGUAUAGUUCAAUGUUUGUAUAAUUAAAAAUAUUAAUAAUUUAAAAUUUGAACUGUUAAAAGAAUAUUCAGUCGUGGCUAAUAUGUAAGUUAUAUAACUUUGUUGAAUAUAAGUCAUGAAUAAAAAAUUUACACAAGUGAAUAGUCAUAAAUAUUUAGUAAAUGAUUGUGUUCAUCAUAUUUUAUAAUUUAAAUAUAAGCCUCAAGUGUAUUCUUUUGAAUUUUUUUUAAAAUAUUUAUCUAAUAAAUAUUAUCAGUGUCCAUAUUAACUAAAUAUAAGCCGCAAGUGUAUAUUUAAAUGUUUUUAUCUACUAAUCAUUAUUUGUAUAUAUAAUAUUUUUUAACACACAAAUAUGUGAAUGUACCUUUAUUACUUACAAAUUAUCUUUUAAAAAAUAGUGCGCGCAAAAUGGGCCGUAGUACCCGCAGCUCAAUUAAGCUCCACAUGAGUCCCCGUGAAGUACAUAUAUGUUGAUUAUCCAUAUUAGACAAAAUACAUAUAUGUACAGUAUCAUGGUCCUGUUUUUCUUUAAAAAAUAAUUUGAGGGUGUUUUGUGCAAAAAAAAUAUGUCGCUGUGAUUGAUCGUUUCGGAAAAUGAUUAUUUUUAGAGUGUUCUGUGUAAAAAUACAUCGCCCAGCGCCAUCAGUCACUGACAAGUGGGGCCAUACACAUGUAUACGCCCGCAUAUGCGUAGUGUGACCGUAUCUGCACGCUUGAGUUAAGUUAUGUGACCAGAAAACCGUAUUUUCAAAGUUCUAGCACCAAACUGAACGUGCGGCGCAAGUUCAAUGACUUCCAGUGAUAUUACCUCCAGAUUUAAAUUCUUUCAUGUUGACAUAGGUACAGAACAAGGCAUUAUCUUGGUAUUAUCUGUGCUGAGGCCCUGGCAUUAUCUUGGUCUCUGGUUUAGUUACAGCAUGUCUUGGUCUCUGAAGUUCUGAACAUUGUGAAGGUCAUUUUUAAGCAGAAGAGAGACGAAGAUCGUUCAUUCCUGUCAACAUCAUGCAGCAGGUUGGCCAUUGAAUGUUUCGCGGAUUCAGCGGCGUUCAUUCAUUGUGGAACAAUUAGUAAAUGAUCAAACGGAGAAUGUUCCUCUUGUCAGGGGCUUAGGUAGGCAGAAUGAUUCUGCUCCGACUCUACCCCACUGGACUGGAAGUUGAUUUAUGAAUGGUUGGUAGAGUAGCCUGAACAGACUGUACCACGUGCGCCGCCCGCCCGUAUCAUCUUUGAUACAGUAGUACUCGUCCCGUCCAACCCGUCCGCUUGGGACAAAAUGGACAGACCCCAUGGUCCAGCACGCGACGGCAUGCACCCAUCUUGUCCGUUUUGUGUUUGGUCCGACCCAUUUCGAACGCAGACAUGCACCCGGUUUGGGUCCAGGCGGAUAAUAAACAGACGCGCCGCUCGUCCGCAUCGGUGCCGCGUGGCAGGCGGCCACCUACCUCCCACCGCCCAACAUAAAUGUGCACGCGCGGUCAGCCCCGCCUGUCAUCUGCUCAGGCGUGCGGUAGGCGUCCUUCUUAACUGGGAAGCCGUGGACCGGUCGCAGUCCACGCUCCCGCUCUAGUCUGUGCUGCCUUCUCGAAACCCAACACCCAAACCCUAUUUCUUCCCCUUCCUCGAGCUCGCCGGCCGUCGACAACCAUGGUGUGGUGGAGCACCGGCCGCAAGGGGGCGCACGACCACGAGGCUGGUUCGUCCUCGGACCGCCGCCACCGCGACGUCAAAGCAGAGCCCGCAUCACCCCCACGGAGGGCCCCCGCGCCUCCCCCAUUCACCAUCGCCCCUACGACCACCGGCGAGCGCGACCGGCACUACAUCCACGCGGAUGUUUCCGCUGUUAUUGGGAGACCAGGAUGCCACUCCCCUGGAGCGACGUUCACCAGCCCAAUAAGUGGCACCUGUCCGCGGAUCGGGUGCCGAUCUCGCUGGUCCCGAUGAGCGGCCGUGCCCUCCGCGAGGAGACCGAACGCCGCCACCGCCUGACGACCUCUACUACGACCCCAGGUACGACGUCGACUCCACUCUCUGGGACACAUGGUUUCGGGACGAGCACGACGUGCGGCGCGCGUCCUUCUUUGCUGGUGUGACGCCCCCGAUUCAAUCGUACACUAAUCUUACAUGCAAAUGUGUACGAUCAAGAUUAGGGACUCACCGGAAGAUAUCACAACACAACUCUAGACACAAAUUAAAAUAAUACAAGCUUUAUAUUACAAGACAGGGGCCUCGAGAGCUCGAAUACAAACUAGUCAGCGGAAGCAACAUUAUCUGAGUACAGACAUGAGUUAAACAAGUUUGCCUUAAGAAGGCUAGCACAAAAGCAACAUCGAUUGAAAAGGCAAGGCCUCCUGCCUGGGAGCCUCCUAACUACUCCUGGUCGUCCGCGGCCUCCAUGUAGUAGUAGUCACCCUCGGUGUAGUAGUAGUCGUCGUCGUCGAAGGUGGCGUCUACCUCCUGGGCUCCACCAUCUGGUUGCAGCAUGGAAAGAGGUGGAAAAAGCGGAGCAAAGCAACCGUGAGUACUCAUCCAAAGUACUCGCAAGCAAGAUCUACACUACAUAUGCAUUGGUAUCAAUGAAAUGGGUAGUAUCUGUGGACUGAACUGCAGAAUGCCAGAAGAGAAGGGGAAAGCCUAGCCUAUCGAAGACUAGCAUCUUCAAGCAGCUACAAGCAUCUUGCAGCAAUCAGAAGAGUAUAGAAUAGCAGUUUCUAUUUAACAAACAUGUUGUAGAAAUAACGCCUAGAGAUUCUUCCCCGACCCUCUGCGGGAAAGCAAUCUCAGAGCCACAUAUCUAUUACAUGCCUCAGUAUUCAGUAUCUAGUUCUAGUUGUGUCGAUCAGGAUACAACUCCGAGCGUCCGUUACCAUGGACCCGGCUUUUCGAAUAGAUAAUACUUCCCUGCAGGGGUGCACCAACUUACCCAACACGCUCGAUCAACUCCGGCCGGACACACUAUCAGGUCAUGACCGCCCUUGGCCGAUCAACACACCGCAGUCUUACCUAGGCUCAUCAGAGAGGCCGGCAUGCCGGUCUACAUCCUAAGCGUGCAGGGGUCUUGGGCCCAUCGCCCUUUGCACUCCUGCAUGUUGCGUACGCGACCGGUUAGCAGACCUAGCUACCUCCUUAAAAAGGCAGGUGCUUACACAGUCCAACCCGGCGUACGCAGCUCCAUCGCUGACGCCCGUUGAGCUUUUGGCUGGUACAUACAACGUAGAGUGCCCAUACUUAUUCCCGCAUGGUGGUUAGUGCGAAAAAGGCCAGAGGCCUACUCGGAUCAAAUAUCCAAACCGUUAGUGUCUUGGUAGUGCGGUAACGAUCAAUGAUCCACGAUAUGUGGUCCCGUCGCCCCAUCUCACGGACGUGCGGCAAGGGCUAAGAAUGCCCGACCAUGCCGCGUGGAAAGAUUGCGGGUAUCCUCCAGUUCAACCCAACUUCACAUCACUCGCGGGUGCCCCUCGGGGCCGAUCCGAUGUCAUCAUGGUUCUAUGGUAAGUCAAAGUAACCGUGUGUCCGAAAUAGCAAGGGGGAAACCUGAGGAAUCACCCUCAAUGGAUUCCCACUCGAUGUAACGUCAAGGUGGACUUAGAGGAAUCACCCUCGAUGGUCCACACUUGAGGGGUUGCACGACAGAGUCGUUAUCGGGAGUGGUGAAGGAGCAAUCACCCUCGAUGACCACGACCGAAUAGUUACACUACAUGGUUAAUAUCAGAAGGGCUGACGAGGUAUCACCCUCGGCACUCGAUAGUAACUCUGCAGAGUUGUACNNNNNNNNNNNNNNNNNNNNNNNNNNNNNNNNNNNNNNNNNNNNNNNNNNNNNNNNNNNNNNNNNNNNNNNNNNNNNNNNNNNNNNNNNNNNNNNNNNNNNNNNNNNNNNNNNNNNNNNNNNNNNNNNNNNNNNNNNNNNNNNNNNNNNNNNNNNNNNNNNNNNNNNNNNNNNNNNNNNNAUUGUGUACAAGGUAGGUUACAGUUGGACUUGUAGUUGCAUUGUGUUCACAUAGGAUAUGGAGUCGUGUCCUAAUAGGACACUUGUAUCCUAGGCCUCUCAUAUAUAGCGGGGGUAGACACACGAUGUAACCUAUGCCAACAUAAUAGCACCGGAACGCAGGGGAAGCCGGCGGCAUGUGCCGGCGUCCAGGGUGACGGGGUGCGGUAUUGUAGCGGUGUCAUGGGGAGGAGCGCCCAUAGUCAGGCCCCAGGGAUGUAGCCAUAUCGGUGAACCUCGUUAACAAAUCUCGGUGUCGUGCUCGUGUGAUUACUUGGCCCUCGGAUGAUCAACGGUAUACCUCGGAUUUAUUCUAACAGGGGUUGAUGUACCACUAACCUAAAAUAUAGAAUUUGACUUGUCUGAGCAAUAUUACUCGGAUUGGAGAAUGGACCAUAUUUAUUUAUAUGGUCAUCGCGCACAAACAUAUUUUCUAGUGCUUAUGUUCAGAGACAUAUUUAAUGGGUAGUACUAAAAGAAGAAUCUCCAGGCGUGGUGCAAGCGUGCUAUGCUCUGAUCUGUAUGAAUGCAACU